GAAAACACGAAACUGAGCUGUACAAAGAUGCUGAUGAGGGGCUGCAGCAUGCAAUUCACUUCACCAGCAGUCACUAAGGUCUGAUCUCUUUUCUAACCAUACCUGGAAGAUGGAAUGCUGGACCCAGGACUAGACUUGGACUAGAACUUUCACCAUUGGCUUACCUGGUUCUCAGACUUUUAGACUUGGACUGGGACUACACCAUCAACUUUCCUUGGUCUCCAGCUUGCAGACAACAGAUUAUGGGACUUGCCAGUCUCCAUAAUCAGGUGCAUGACUGUUGCUCUUUGACCUGUGUGGUGAGGGGUUACAUGUUAACCAGACUCCCUAGUCUCACUGCAAUUUCUGCCUCUCGGGUUCAAGUGAUUCUCCUGCCUCAGCCUCCUGAGUAGCUGGGAUUACAG
rnacentral:lncRNA from 1 species